GUAACGAGCGCAACCCUUGUCCUUAGUUACCAGCACGUAUGGUGGGCACUCUAAGGAGACUGCCGGUGACAAACCGGAGGAAGGUGGGGAUGACGUCAAGUCAUCAUGGCCCUUACGGCCUGGGCUACACACGUGCUACAAUGGUCGGUACAAAGGGUUGCCAAGCCGCGAGGUGGAGCUAAUCCCAUAAAACCGAUCGUAGUCCGGAUCGCAGUCUGCAACUCGACUGCGUGAAGUCGGAAUCGCUAGUAAUCGUGAAUCAGAAUGUCACGGUGAAUACGUUCCCGGGCCUU
rnacentral:rRNA from 1 species